rnacentral:snoRNA from 1 species
UUUUCUAACCAAUCUGCCAUUAAAAGUCCUUAUUGGCUAAACACAUCUGAUCCAGGUAAUUAGAAGCAGAUGAGGCAGGAUUUCUGAAAAACCAGCAGGAGGUCGGCCUCCGAGGCCUGGAGUUUGACACCCCUGCUUUAGAC